rnacentral:snoRNA from 1 species
UAAAAUGAUGAUAACUCCCAACUUUUAUUUUUUCUGGUACCUCUUAUGUCAGAAGUAGCAUCCUCGUGGUGUUAUUUCGAUGAUCUAAAUGGACUUCUGAUA